rnacentral:rRNA from 1 species
UACGAAGGGUGCAAACGUUGCUCGGAAUUAUUGGGCGUAAAGCGCACGUAGGCGGCUUUGCAAGUCGGAUGUGAAAUCCCUCGGCUUAACCAAGGAAGUGCAUCGAAACUGCAGAGCUUGAGUACUUAAGAGGAUCGCGGAAUUCCCGGUGUAGAGGUGAAAUUCGUAGAUAUCGGGAGGAACACCAGUGGCGAAGGCGGCGAUCUGGGAAGAUACUGACGCUGAGGUGCGAAAGCGUGGGGGGAGCAGACAGG